rnacentral:lncRNA from 1 species
ACACGCCAUCAACCUCCAGACCCUCUCGCCGUGGCUUAGAGGUGUCUCUGACAACGUGGCACACUGGGAAGGCCUUCUUUCCUGCUACCAAUACAAAUGCAUUCUGAAUUUGAUAUGUCAUUAAAUGUAAAAAUACAGCCAAUUUGAAACAAGCAAAUGGAAAUUCCCAGGAACCAAAAACAGAAAGAAAAAUCAGAGCUACCGCAGUGCUGUCCCUGCAGACAGAAUUUGGGAGAGGUACUCAGAGUCACCUCCUGUGAGCCUAUGCAAGCCAGCUCCUGCACAACCCUGGUUUUAGUCCAGCCUUCUGCAGAAUUCCACAUUAAACAGGAUGAAGAAUAGGUUGUUAGCAGACUGAGGUACUUGGGGCAACAUUUCGUACACAACAGGAGGGAGAAACGACUCCAGAAAAACAAUCAGAUUUUGGUGAAACUGAUGUUUGCAAGUGUGAGUGAGCCCCAUGUGCUGAAGCUUCAGGAACCCCUGAGAUGGCACAAGUUCUGCCGUACUGGGCAACGGAUGGUCUUGAAGCACACAAGACACUGGAAGACAUGAGGGCAAUUGCUACACGCCAAGCCCGGUGCCAAGCACGUUGUGCAGGUUGUUUCGUUGAUUCCGGGCCUGGCCUUUGAGAUCUGUGGAGGAUACCAUGAACUGGCUGGCUCUGCAUCCUGCUUGCAGGCGCUGGCAAGCUGGAACCUGCUUUUCUACGCCACACUGCAGAGGGCCCUGAAUGUGAUCUAUGAUUGCAACAAGCAGCCCUGAUGCGGAUCCGGAGGGCAGGGAUGACGUGGGGGCUGCCUUUCUGGUUGACCUGCUGGUAAGCAUGGCCUCAUGGAUCUAUCACCAACAGCACCCAGUCACUUGGGGAGGCCGAGUGGCAGGGCUGGGGCAUCCAUCAGGGUUUGAUUUUGCUUAUGUGGACCGGCAGGUGCAGCACAGCUGCAUUUUAGUGCAGGGCUUCCUGAUCCUGCUGCACAGCUAACACCGUUCUUCCCGAAGGCAGCAGCUCCCCCACGGGGCUGUUUCCCCAGUUCUGGGCAUCAGUCCCAGAGGCAAAGACGGGAGCCAUCCACUCUGACUCUGCCAACAAUUCUGUGAGCACCCAGUUCUCUGUAUGAAAUUCCUUUCUGCUUUAGAUAAUUAAAAUAACUUUUCUUCCCCUGC